CCUACGGGUGGCAGCAGUCGAGAAUCAUUCACAAUGGGGGAAACCCUGAUGGUGCGACGCCGCGUGGGGGAAUGAAGGUCUUCGGAUUGUAAACCCCUGUCAUGUGGGAGCAAAUUAAAAAGAUAGUACCACAAGAGGAAGAGACGGCUAACUCUGUGCCAGCAGCCGCGGUAAUACAGAGGUCUCAAGCAUUGUUCGGAAUCACUGGGCGUAAAGCGUGCGUAGGCUGUUUCGUAAGUCGGGUGUGAAAGGCGCGGGCUCAACCCGCGGACGGCACAUGAUAAUGCGAGACUAGAGUACUGGGGGGGGAACCGGAAUUCUCGGUGUAGCAGUGAAAUGCGUAGAUAUCGAGAGGAACACUCGUGGCGAAGGCGGGUUCCUGGACAUUAACUGACGCUGAGGCACGAAGGCCAGGGGAGCGAAAGGGAUUAGAUACCCCUGUAGUC
rnacentral:rRNA from 1 species